rnacentral:rRNA from 1 species
UACGUAGGGGGCGAGCGUUGUUCGGAAUUACUGGGCGUAAAGCGCACGUAGGCGGCUUUGUAAGUUAGAGGUGAAAGCCCGGGGCUCAACCCCGGGAGGCGGAUGGAUACUGCAAGGCUCGAGUACGGAAGAGGCGAGUGGAAUUCCCGGUGUAGCGGUGAAAUGCGCAGAUAUCGGGAGGAACACCAAUGGCGAAGGCAGCUCGCUGGGACGUUAUUGACGCUGAGACGCGAAAGCGUGGGGAGCAAACAGG